GCCCGGGUGGCGGAAUGGCAGACGCAGAGGGCUUAAACCCCUCGGUUCCUAACGGAGCGUGUGGGUUCGAAUCCCACUCCGGGCA
rnacentral:tRNA from 2 species